GUUGCCGUCUUUCCAUGAUGUUUGGCAGCACGGGUUUCGCCAUAAAACCGCCCAAGCCUUCCCGUCCUCUGAGACUGCUCAGACCCUGACAUCGCCAUUCCCGCCCUUCUCUCCUCCUUGCCAAUAAAGCAUCCAAAAGCGGAUAAUGGCGUGAAAUUGUACUCCAUUAACCGUUCCGCCCCGCCCCCCGGGGCUACAUGGCUAUAAAACCCUAGCAACCGCUUCCCUCUCUCCAUGCUCCUGCUCCUCCCCCACCACUCCAUUCUUGCCAAAAGCCCUAAAAUCUCGACCCUCCACCUCUACGUUCUUGCCAAAAGCCCUAAAAUCUCGACUCUCCCCUUCCUCGCCGCUCGCUCUCGCGCUCGCCUACUUCGCUUCGCUCUUUCCAAUGGCGCCGCCGCCCAAGGUGGUCGCGGAGUACGCGAAGUCCGGUCGCUCGUCUUGCAAGAACUGCGGGAAGGCCAUCGCCGCGGGUUCUCUGAGGGUGGGCUCGUCGAGUAAAGGCCCUCGGGAAUCUGACCUCAUGAAAUGGUAUCAUUUGGAUUGCUUUCCUUUGCAGGAUCAUCCACUCGCUGUCGCAGAGGAGAUACUCGGGUUUUCUUCUUUGAAGAGUUUUGAUCUGGAUGCAUUAAGGAAGCUAGAGGCUACAGCAUCAUCCGAACAAACCGUUAAUGAGCUUGGUAAAACAGAUUGGGAUGCAACUGAAGAGUUAGAGGAAAAGGGUUCAAAGAAACGAAAGCUCUCUAGCACAGAUGAAGCUGGGAAUGAAGAGUUCACUAAAAGGAAUUCUCCAGUUGUUGCCCAUAAAGUAGUUGCGGAGUAUGCCAAAUCCAACCGAUCUUCUUGCAAGAACUGCAGGAAUGUCAUAGCUGCAGGUUCUCUGAGGCUGGGCUCUUCAAGCAAAGACCCUCGAGGCUUUGACCUUGUGAAAUGGUAUCACCUGGACUGCUUUCCAUCUCAGUCCCACCUGCUCAUUGCUGUGGAGGAGAUAACUGGGUUUUCUUCUUUAAAGAAUUCCGACCAAGAUGCAUUAAGGAAGCUAGAGGCUGCUGCAUCAUCCAGCCAGAUUGCCAUGGAGGUUAGUAAAAGAGAUGGCAGUGCAAUCGAAGAGUUCGAGGAAAAGGAUUCGAAGAAACCAAAGUUGCUUGUAGAUGGCAAAAAGAAUGACUUCAAGAUGGCCUUUUCUGCGUCUGAUAUCAAAGAUCGGUACAAGGAUGCCACCCUUCCACCAAAUUGGAAGGCCUUCAAGACACUCAUUUUUCGUGAGCAGGAAGAGGGUCUCUGUGAUUCUGAAAAAAUUGCUGCGUUUGAUUUUGAUGGAUGUCUCGCGAAUACAUCUGUGAAAAGAAUUGGUCCAGAUGCUUGGUCUCUGAUGUAUCCAUCAGUUCCUGAGAAGCUGCAGGGACUAUAUAACAGUGGCUACAAGCUGGUUAUCUUCACCAAUGAAUCAAACAUUGAGCGCUGGAAGAACAAACGACAACGAGCUGUGGAUUCCAAAAUAGGGAGACUUGACAACUUUAUCAAGCACGUUAAAGUCCCAAUUCAGGUUUUUAUAGCUUGCGGGCUAGGAACAGGCAAGGAUCAAAGUGAAGAUCCCUUUCGCAAACCAAAACCUGGAAUGUGGAGGCUAAUGGAAGAACACUUCAAUUCUGGCAUCGCAGUUGCCAUGGAUCAUUCCUUCUAUGUUGGUGAUGCAGCUGGGAGAGUCAAUGAUCACAGUGAUGCUGAUAUUAAGUUUGCUGAGUUCCAAGUUCAAUGACUUGGUAUUCAGGAGGAUGUUGUCAAAUUGCAGUCUAUCAGCAUCCCUGACACAUAACAGUUGGAAUUCCUUUUUGAUGAUGAUGGCCUGUUGCUCCUGCUGUGUAUGUCAAGAUGCAACAUUGAGUUAUCGAAAUCCCUGCACCCCUGAUUGUUUGGCAGUUGGGUUGAAAUUCCAUGUUCCCGAGGAGUUCUUUUGCACUUGAUGCUCGCCAUCCCGUGCCUCUCGCUUUCAUUGGCUUUCAUUUUGGGUCUCCAUGUUCUGAGCAACUUUUUGAGACUUGGUGAAAAAAGUAGUUUAGCUUAACUGGCGCAACGUUUUGAGCUGAUCAGCUUACUCAUCUCCAUAGGCUGGUGCUGUUUUUUUUUGAUAAAAUAGGCUGGUGCUGUUCAUCUGCAUCAUCUCAUCUCAGCAAGCUUGCCUGUGAUUUGUAAAAUGAUGGUUAAAGUAACGAGGAAGGAACAAAAACUAUAGUUAUGUGAUAAAUGUUUCUUAUUUUGUUCAGAAAAAUUGUUGGAUCCAUGUUACUCAGAACUUUCAAUAGAAUCUUUUGCCUAUGGAUAAA